rnacentral:ncRNA from 1 species
GAGGGUAGAGGUUGCGUAAAUCAAGAGUAACCUGUCGGAUGCUUCAGGAAGCGCGGGAAGACAGGGGAAAGGGAAGCACGCCGAAGGAAAAUACGACCUGAUCAUAUUUUCCUGGGCGCAGGGUGAACAAUCCUGCGACUGUCAUCCGGACGGAUGGGGAGCUACUAA